AAAGGAACGCACAGAAUGAAGUCAUUUCUGCACAAGCUCUCCCUCACAGCACAGCAAGACCGACUGAAGGAUAGCUUCAAAUUCUUGCUGAUAACACUCUCAGGCUAACCCAGCACCUGCCAUGACAAAAGUCCUACACUUGUUUAUGAGUGGGAAAAGAACAACAGGGCAGAGCAGAUACUCUGCACCCCGUCCUUCAAAGCUGUGCCGCAGCAGCAUGUGGGACCCUCCAAUCCUCUCAUCUCACAGAUACGACACAAGAGGAGAUUUGUGAGAAGAUCGAGUGAUCAAAUGCACUUCAGGCUGAGCAUCACCUCCAUGAUAGCAUCAAUGUAGAAGUCUGGAGAGCCAUUUAAAUUUUGUCAAUCUGAGGAGGAAAACAACUCAUGCAAAAUAAAAGUUGAGGAGCUGAGAAUGAA